UCUAGAGGCUUCGGCAAUGGGGGCAACCCUGACCGAGCGACGCCGCGUGGAGGAUGACGCCCUUCGGGGUGUAAACUCCUUUCGACCGGGAAAAAGGCCCGGACUUGUUUCGGGAUUGAUGGUACCGGUGGAAGAAGCCACGGCUAACUCUGUGCCAGCAGCCGCGGUAAGACAGAGGUGGCUAGCGUUGUUCGGAUUUAUUGGGCGUAAAGGGCGCGUAGGCGGCCAGGUGCGUCUGGUGUGAAAGCGCUACCGCUCAACGGAGCGAGUGCACUGGAUACGACUUGGCUUGAGUCCGGGAGAGGUGAGUGGAAUUCCUGGUGUAGCGGUGGAAUGCGUAGAUAUCAGGAAGAACACCAGUGGCGAAGGCGGCUCACUGGCCCGGCACUGACGCUGAGGCGCGAAAGCGUGGGGAGCAAACGGGAUUAGAUACCCCGGUAGUCCACGCUGUAAACGGUGGAUACUAGGUGCGGGGGGUAUCGACCCCCUCCGUGCCGCAGGAAACCCAUUAAGUAUCCCGCCUGGGGAGUACGGCCGCAAGGUUG
rnacentral:rRNA from 1 species